UAUACAUACAUACAUACAUACAUACAUACAUGUAUAUAUAUAUAUAUAUAUAUAUAUCAGGGACGUGCCGCCUGGGUAGGCUAGGUAGGCAAUGCCUACCCUGAAUAAGAUAGAUCGAUGGUAACAUUUUCCUUUUAUGGCAAAAUAUGCACCUAAUUCAAUAAAAUUAUGAAGG